rnacentral:rRNA from 1 species
GACGAAGGGGGCUAGCGUUGUUCGGAAUUACUGGGCGUAAAGCGCGUGUAGGGGGUUGUUCAAGUCAGGUGUGAAAGCCUUGAGCUCAACUCAAGAAAUGCACUUGAUACUGGAUAACUAGAGGACCGGAGAGGAUAGUGGAAUUCCCAGUGUAGUGGUGAAAUACGUAGAGAUUGGGAAGAACACCAGUGGCGAAGGCGGCUAUCUGGACGGUUUCUGACGCUAAGACGCGAAAGCGUGGGGAGCAAACAGG